CCUACUGGUGGCUGCAGUGGGGAAUAUUGCACAAUGGGCGCAAGCCUGAUGCAGCCAUGCCGCGUGUGUGAAGAAGGCCUUCGGGUUGUAAAGCACUUUCAGCGGGGAGGAAGGAGUUAAGGUUAAUAACCUUGGCGAUUGACGUUACCCGCAGAAGAAGCACCGGCCAACUCCGUGCCAGCAGCCGCGGUAAUACGGAGGGUGCAAGCGUUAAUCGGAAUUACUGGGCGUAAAGCGCACGCAGGCGGUCUGUCAAGUCGGAUGUGAAAUCCCCGGGCUCAACCUGGGAACUGCAUUCGAAACUGGCAGGCUAGAGUCUUGUAGAGGGGGGUAGAAUUCCAGGUGUAGCGGUGAAAUGCGUAGAGAUCUGGAGGAAUACCGGUGGCGAAGGCGGCCCCCUGGACAAAGACUGACGCUCAGGUGCGAAAGCGUGGGGAGCAAACAGGAUUAGAUACCCGAGUAGUC
rnacentral:rRNA from 1 species